rnacentral:rRNA from 1 species
UACAGAGGUCUCAAGCGUUGUUCGGAUUCAUUGGGCGUAAAGGGUGCGCAGGCGGCCAAGUGUGUGAGGCGUGAAAGCCCGAUGCUUAACAUCGGAAUUGCACCUCAAACUACAUGGCUAGAGCAUUGGAGAGGGUAGCGGAAUUCACGGUGUAGCAGUGAAAUGCGUAGAUAUCGUGAGGAACACCAGAGGCGAAGGCGGCUACCUGGACAAUUGCUGACGCUCAGGCACGAAAGCGUGGGGAGCAAAAGGG